AAUACACAACUCUAUAACUGCGGAGUUCAAUAAUAUUCUGAUAAUAGAAUAAUUUAUACAUCCAAAAUUAAAUAAUAGAAAUAUAAAGUUUACAUUUAUAACUCUGCGGAGAAGAUUGCAGAGCUUUCGUUGGAUCAGCAACUUCCUACUACCUGAGAAGUUUGGAGAGAAAGGGGGUGAGUUUUGCAACUCAGUGAAUAAUAAUAAAUAAUACACACCACAUACAGUCAAGCAAAAUGCGCCCUAGUAUACUGAAUGAACACACAACAGUCAAUCAUAUGGCAUCACAUCAGCACCCACAAACAAUAUCACCUUCAAAUAAUCACAUCACGUGGAAAUUAGUCAGUGG
rnacentral:lncRNA from 1 species